rnacentral:rRNA from 1 species
UAGGGAAUAUUGCUUAAUGGGCGAAAGCCUGAAGCAGCAACGCCGCGUGUGCGAUGGAGGUCUUCGGAUUGUAAAGCACUUUUAGAGGGGAUGAGGAAGGACAGUACCCUCUGAAUAAGCCUCGGCUAACUACGUGCCAGCAGCCGCGGUAAAACGUAGGAGGCGAGCGUUAUCCGGAUUUACUGGGCGUAAAGCGCGUGUAGGCGGCAUGAUAAGUUGGAUGUGAAAGCUCCCGGCUAAACUGGGAGAGGUCGUUCAAUACUGUCAAGCUUGAGGAUGGGAGAGGGAGGUGGAAUUCCGGGUGUAGUGGUGAAAUGCGUAGAUAUCCGGAGGAACACCAGUGGCGAAGGCGGCCUCCUGGCCCAUUUCUGACGCUCAGACGCGAAAGCUAGGGUAGCAAACGG